ACGAACUGAAUUAUCAUAUUUUUUACUUGUUCACAAAACAUAAAACAUUGACUUACUUUGUUUCCGAAUCGGUUUAUGUACGAGUUGUCUCAAGGAAAUCUGAUACACAUGAACGUUUGAAAUUGCACACAGAUGUACCAAAACGUAAACAUUUGAAAAACACUGAAUAAUGAACUAGCGGGAAGAAGUUUGCAUCGACAUGAUCAUCAACAAUUAAGAAAUGGACUUGUCAAUGAUGUGUGAGAAGGACGGGGUUGUGGAUGUCCCCACAGAAUCUUUGUAAAAAAAUUGCUCUGGAGAAAACAAAACUUGAUUCUUCACAUUGAAAGUUUCCAUCCAGAAAUUGACCUUGGUGAUGUUGCUGUAAGGCAAAAAUAGUAUGAAUUAGAUUCUUCUGUUCCUGUUCCUAAAAGCAAAAAAAAUUCUUGAGAAGAAGGAAAUCCAGAAAUGAUCAGGAAUAUGGUGACAGGUCAGAGUUGGAAAAAUAGUAGAGCCUCUUGUUGUUAGUAAAGCAGCCCGCCAAACCACCAUGAAAGAGACUGAAAUGACUACUGCACAGAUAACAUUUUGAGCUGGACAAUCGGUGAAUUGAGCUGUAGAAACCAAGUGACAGAAAACAUAUCUUUUAGGCCAGGAAAAAUCAAUCUUUAGAUAUUCAAAAUAAUGUCAGGCACUUUAAUUUAUAACUCACCUGAACCUGAAUGCUGUAAAUGAUUAAUCACAAGCACCCCUCCUUCAUAAGUUGAUAGUGAUAGAUAUCAAUAUGGUAAUUACAAAUUCUUUGAUCUGAAGGUUUAUUUUUCUUAGCCUAAGACCAUUUAAGUGAACAUUGGUACAUUUUUGGGGGAACUCAUUGUAAAGCAUUUUUUUGGGUGUAAAAAGAAAGAACUUAAACGUCUCAAUAAAGAUUAUUAAAAGUA